rnacentral:lncRNA from 1 species
UCAGUAGAAAGUGCAUUCCAAUAAAAAAUAAGCCUUAACUCCAGAAAUGUUGAAAGGAAACCUAUAAGCAAUGAAAAUAGAAGUGAUUCAUCUAGAGGUGGCAGAACUGGACGAGGAAGAGCAAGAGGAAGAGAUGGAAGAGGUAGAGGAAGAUUCAACUAUGGAAGAAAGUUUACUAACGAGGAAGGCUCAUCAUUCUCAAAGUGUAAUAUUUGUAAAAGAAGUAGUCAUGUUGAAAAAGAUUGUUGGUUCAAAG